rnacentral:rRNA from 1 species
GACGGAGGAUGCAAGCGUUAUCCGGAAUGAUUGGGCGUAAAGCGUCCGCAGGUGGCAGUUCAAGUCUGCUGUCAAAGACCGGGGCUUAACUUCGGAAAGGCAGUGGAAACUGAACAGCUAGAGUAUGGUAGGGGCAGAGGGAAUUCCUGGUGUAGCGGUGAAAUGCGUAGGGAUCAGGAAGAACAUCGGUGGCGAAGGCGCUCUGCUGGACCAUAACUGACGCUGAGAAGCGAAAGCAUGGGGAGCGAACAGG